rnacentral:lncRNA from 1 species
CCUCCCGUCGGUCGGCUGCUACCCGGCGUCGAUCCACAGAGCUCCUUCGCAAGACGCCGUCGCCGCCUUCAUUUCCCUCCGCCGCUGCCUCCGACGCUCUCACCCUUUCUUGGCCGUCCUCCUCUGUCGGAUCUCACGCAGAGAAGGAAGGCUCGGUCGCCGGAAACCCCCAAGGCAGCCCGGGAGGCAAAUAAGCCGGCCUCCUAUCACUGUGAAAGCAUCAUCCACCGCCACCGUUUCGCCGCGCCGCCGAUUUACCUUUGAUCGCCGCCGAUUCGCCUUCGGUCGCCGCCGUGCUUCCCGGAGGUCUCGAAAGCAUUUUGCUGCCACCGACCGUGGCCGGAUCCAAGUGAAGGACGUCGCCGCCCCGAUCACUGCUGCACCAGCACCCUCUUCCGCCGGCGCAACACCUCCCCGCAACCACCGCCGCAAAAUCAGGCGAGAUCCGGCGGAAGCGAGCGGACGGUUGAAGGUUGAAGAUGAUCUACAGUACGGGUAAGGUCUGCACCCGUUAGCCCGUUAACCCAUUAUCCAUUAACCCGAGUCAUUUCAAAAAAAAAAAAAUUGCGGGUCGGACUGUCCUAGUGGGUUGGGUCUGUUAACCCGAUAACCCGACAACCCGACUUGAGUUAAAAAAAAAAAAAAAA